CUCUGCUGCCGCACUGGCUGAACCGGUUGUCUUUCUCUGGCUCCGGUCGUGCUCCCACAGGUGCCGUCUGUUAUGCUCAGUCCGAAGAUAUUCUGUAGCAGACGACAUGGCCAAUGGUGUCGUCUGCUAUGCAUGCUCAACAUAAGACGCAGCAGAACUUCCUGUCUUUCCAGAAGUCCUGUCAGCAGCUUUUUAGUUUUCCUCCCACUAUAUGUCGGUAGAAUAUUCUGCGGGGACGUCCCUCAUAUGGCGCCCGGAUUAAAUUGAAUGGCGCUCGGAUUAUUUCAGAUGGCACCUGGACUAAUUCAGAUGACACUUGGACUAAAAUGGACGGGAAAAGCUGUAGUUAAUACAAAAUCAGAAUAGGAAAAAAAUAUGUGAUCCCCUGAUGAUUAGCUCGCAAUAUUACUGCAAGUUUUGGAAGCACUUCGUGUAUUCGAAUACAUGGGCUUUCGCAUUGGACAUCUCAAGGGAAGAAUCUACGCACAUUUGAACGUUCUGCGUCGUAUCACCAGCUACCGCUGGGGAACAUCGACAGCGUCUCUCUUUACUGAACGCUGAUUCGGCAGAUGAUG